ensembl:lncRNA
UUUUUUUUUUUUUUUUUUUCCCUUCCCUGAUCAGCUUGGGAUUACAAGGUCAAUACAGUAAUUUUAGCACUUUUACCUGCAUCCUCAAUACUCUUGACCCAUUAUUGCUCUGCUCCUCCUGGUCAGUUUAUCUCUGAUUUUGGAUUAAUCCAGUCUUAUCUUUUUGCUCCCAAGGAGAUAAGCACCACACAAUACUGAAUAUACUGAUUAUCUUUGUUAAAAUUAGUGGUUUUCAGCCUCUGCUGAUACUUUAUCAAUGCUAGGCAAGUUUAUAACUUGUCCAUGGUCAGCUCCAUUUUCUCCAAAUCUGCAGGGUCUGAUGAAAAAGCCUUAUCAUACCUCCUAAAUUCCUCAUCUUAUUCUCUCCUGAAUAUCACUUUGUUACUUUGCAAAGUCAUGAUCAGACACUAACUUCUUCAGUUUUCAUGUUGACUAAUGGUCUGUAUUAAAUCCAAGGCAAUUUCCAGCAACUUUUGCUUGGUUCUCAUCCUUCUUUUUCUUGGCUCAUUUCAUUCCAGGCAUCCUUGGUUUUCUACUUAGUUUCUGUUCCUAACAAAUAUGGCACUUGAACUUGGCAGCAGAUUCCUGUGUCCUGAUUUUUGUCCCUUGGCACAAAUUAUUCUCUAGGAUUUGAAUAAACCUGGAAUGUCCUAAUCCUGAAAGGCUACAGGGUUCAACUCUUGGACACCUUUUUUUCUCUAUUGGUGAUCUCAUCUAAUCUUAUGGCUUUAAAUAUGCCUUCCAUAUGUCGAUGACUCCCAAUUUUAUUUUAGUCAGAUCUCUCCUCUGAACUGUGGACCUCUAUAACUACUCAAAAAUCCCAAUUUGAAUAUCAUGUGCUAUCUUAAACUUAACAUGUUCAAAAUCAAGCUAACGAGAACAUUUUUGGAAGUGAUGGAUAUAGUCAUUAUCUUGUUAAUGGUUUCAUGAGUGUAUUCCUAUGAAAAAAACUCAUCAAAUUGCAUACUUUUAAAAUGUACACAUUUUUGUAUAUCAGUUAUAUCCACUACAGGAGGUAAGGACAAAACAAUUUCCUGAUCUCAGUGAAGUGAUGCACAUUUGCAAAUUAUCCCCUUCAAAUGACAGAUCUUUUGCAUAUUCUGAAGUGCCUUUUCCAUUGCUCGUUUGAAGAGAACUAUAAUAAAUGAAGUAACAAGAAAAGAUAAAGUUCUCAAAUAGGUUGGACUGGACUGUACUUGAUUUGGGAUUCUGAUUAAACCCUCAUAACUCUGAUAAACUCAGCUACAUGGCAUGCUGAGACCUCAGCAGUAGGGAGACCAGGACUCAUCAGAGUAAGACAAGGAGUCUAGUUCUCAUACUGAAAAGGUAUCCUCUUCUGCCCCAAGAUGGUCUCUAAUGAUGUUAUUCUACAGGGUGGAAUAAGAUCAGAGGGAGUGGUAAUAUGCAGUUAAGUCAUGCAUAUUAAUAUAUACCUAUAACAAAGUACUAUGUUAUAAGUAUUGUUUGGAUCCAGAACCAAGUUUUUGGAAAGGUAGGGAGGGUCCUACUCCCAGAAAAGGACUAGCAAAAGAUAAGCAGUUUAUUCUAGUAGGCUGAAAUUCAAAGAAAGGCUCUAAUCCCAACUGGGGAACUAUUACAAAAACCAUGAAAACAGCUAAAAGCUCUUUCAUACACACUGGGCAGUGAGGAUUGAUGUGUUAGUUCACAGGACACUUGACUGGGGAGCCAAGCACAGUGGAUAUUGGGUUUCCGGCAAUAGAACUAAUUUUAGAAAGCACCAAAUGGUAGGUUUGAGCUUACUAUAUUUUAAGAUUACCUGGAAGCCUGGUGUAAGGCAGAAGGAAAAUUCCUGUUGGCUGAAG